UACGGGGGGGGCAAGCGUUGUUCGGAAUUACUGGGCGUAAAGGGCUCGUAGGCGGCCAACUAAGUCGGAUGUGAAAUCCCCAGGCUUAACCGGGGAACUGCGUCUGAUACUGGAUGGCUUGAGUUCGGGAGAGGGAUGCGGAAUUCCAGGUGUAGCGGUGAAAUGCGUAGAUAUCUGGAGGAACACCGGUGGCGAAGGCGGCAUCCUGGACCGAUACUGACGCUGAGGAGCGAAAGCCAGGGGAGCAAACGGG
rnacentral:rRNA from 1 species